UAAUUGGAGAGUUUGAUCCUGGCUCAGAAUCAACGCUGGCGGCGUGCCUAACACAUGCAAGUCGAACGAGAAAGUGGGGCUUGCUCCACGAGUAAAGUGGCAAACGGGUGAGUAACACGUGAACAACCUACCCUCGAGUGGGGAAUAACACCGCGAAAGCGGUGCUAAUACCGCAUAACAUCCCGGGGUCGCAUGGUCCUGGGAUCAAAAGCGCAAGUUGCUUGAGGAGGGGUUCACGGCUGAUUAGCUAGUUGGUGAGGUAACGGCCCACCAAGGCAACGAUCAGUAGCCGGCCUGAGAGGGCGAACGGCCACACUGGAACUGAG
rnacentral:rRNA from 1 species